CAGCCGCCACGGGAAUACGGAGGGUGCAAGCGUUAAUCGGAAUUACUGGGCGUAAAGCGUGCGUAGGCGGUUCGUUAAGUCUGUUGUGAAAGCCCCGGGCUCAACCUGGGAAUGGCAAUGGAUACUGGCGAGCUAGAGUGUGUCAGGGGAUGGUGGAAUUCCCGGUGUAGCGGUGAAAUGCGUAGAGAUCGGGAGGAACAUCAGUGGCGAAGGCGGCCAUCUGGGACAACACUGACGCUGAGGCACGAAAGCGUGGGGAGCAAACAGGAUUAGAUACCCCGGUAGUCCCUGUCUCUUAUAC
rnacentral:rRNA from 1 species